UGCCCGAUGCCACGUCGAUGAUAGCUUUUUCUGGCUAUGAUCUUCGAUGCUAUGAAUUGGGCACAUAUCAAAGGGGAUUAGUUUCUCUUAUUCGCAUUUUGAUAGGAACCUGUGGAUCUCAAUUUUCCAUUAGUCCACAGAGCCGGUUUUUGCGAUUACAUCU
rnacentral:snoRNA from 1 species